rnacentral:ncRNA from 1 species
UGACCCGAGCUCAGGCGAGAACACCCGCUGAGUUUGAGCAUAUAAUUAAGCGGAGGAAAAUAAACUUACAAGGAUUCCCUUAGUAAUGGCGAGAGAACCGAGAAGAGCCCAACAUGAAAAUUGGGUGGAAACAUUGCCUGAAUCGUAGUCUAUAGAAGCAUCCUUAGAAACAAACCAGACCCAAGUCCCUUGGAAGGGGGCGCUUGAGAGGGUGACAGCCCCAUAGGGGCGGGACCCUACCGCACCACAAGGCGUUGUUGGCGAGUCGGGUUGUUUGGGAAUGCAGCCCUAAUUGGGUGGUAAAUUCCGUCCAAGGCUAAAUACGGGCGAGAGACCGAUAACGAACAAGUACUGUGAGGGAAUGAUGAAAAGGACUUUGAAAAGAGAGUUAAAGAGUGCUUGAAAUUUCCGAGAGGGAAGUGGAUGGAGGCUGGCGAUGCGUCUCGGUCAGAUGCGGAAUGGAUCAAGAUGGUCCGCUGCUCGACUCGAGGUGCGAACCAGCACAUGCCGUUGCAUCGACACAAGCGUGGGUGGAGUAAUUCCUAUUGGUUUGCCAUUGUGGUGGUCAAGGAAUGAAGCGUGCACCCUUGGGGUGGGCCAAUGUGCCCCUGCAUGCUCAUGGUGUUGGUUGGUGGGAUUUCCAUUUGACCCGUCUUGAAACACAGAUCGAGGAGUCUAACAUGUGUGUGAGUCGGUGGGUUUGUAAACCUGCAAGUCGUAAGGAAGAUGAUGGGUGAGAACCCCUCUCCAUGGGGUGGAUUGAUGACCAACCUUGAGUUUGUGCAAAGGGUUCGAGUGUGAGAACACCUGUUGGGACCCGAAAGAUGGUGAACUAUGCCUGAGCAGGGUGAAGCCAGAGGAAACUUUGGUGGAGGCUCAUAGUGAUACUGACGUGCAAAUCGUUCUUCUGACUUGGGUAUAGGGGAGAAUGACUAAUCGAACCAUCUAGUAGCUGGUUUCCUCUGAAGUUUCCCUCAGGAUAGUUGGAGCUCACGUGCAAGUUUUAUUGGGUAAAGAAAAUGAUUAGAGGCAUCGGGGGCAUAACGCCCUCAACCUAUUCUCAAACUUUAAAUAGGUAAGAUGGUGCGGCUGCUUCAUUGAGUCGUGCCAUGAAAUCGAGAGCUCCAAGUGGGCCAUUUUUGGUAAGCAGAACUAGUGAUGCGAGAUGAACCGAAAGUCGAGUUAUGGUGCCAAACUACAUGCUAACCCAGAUCCCACAAAGGGUGUUGGUUGAUUAAGAUAGCAGGACGGUGGUCAUGGAAGUUGAAAUCCGCUAAGGAGUGUGUAACAACUCACCUGCCAAAUCAACUAGCCCCGAA